AAAAAAAUAGAAAGAGGAGGGUGCAAAAUCAAAAGAAAUCAAAAUAAAUCAAAAAAAAAAUCAAAAGAAAGAAAAAGAAAGAAAGAAACAAAAGAGAAAUAGCACCCUCGAAGUCCCAAGUUGACUGAUGCUGAAUGGAUUCAGGGUCGUCACGACCAAAUGAAUCUGAUCGAAAAGAAGAGAUUAACUGCCAUGUGUCAUGGUUAGUUAU
rnacentral:lncRNA from 1 species